rnacentral:rRNA from 1 species
GUGGGGAAUAUUGGACAAUGGGCGAAAGCCUGAUCCAGCAACGCCGCGUGAGGGAUGACUGCCUUCGGGUUGUAAACCUCUUUCAGCGGGGACGAAGCGAAAGUGACGGUACCCGCAGAAGAAGCACCGGCCAACUACGUGCCAGCAGCCGCGGUAAUACGUAGGGUGCGAGCGUUGUCCGGAAUUAUUGGGCGUAAAGGGCUCGUAGGCGGUUUGUCACGUCGGGAGUGAAAACUCAGGGCUCAACCCUGAGCCUGCUUCCGAUACGGGCAGACUAGAGGUAUGCAGGGGAGAACGGAAUUCCUGGUGUAGCGGUGAAAUGCGCAGAUAUCAGGAGGAACACCGGUGGCGAAGGCGGUUCUCUGGGCAUUACCUGACGCUGAGGAGCGAAAGUGUGGGGAGCGAACAGGAUUAGAAACCCUUGUAGUCC